rnacentral:lncRNA from 11 species
UUUUGGAUGAAGCCAAACUUAUUGCAAGUGUGGAACCUUAAAGAGCUGUAUGGGGGAAGAGUCCCUGUCCAAGGGGGCUUGUAAGGCUUAUAUACUGCUUCAACUAAAAAAUGUAAUGAGGUUUACCUGUGACUCCUAAAUGGUCCCUUGUCGAAGCAGCUCAUAAGGCUCAGUCUUUCUAGUCUCAGAAGUAGAAUGUUUCUAUGACAACUGCCUUGACUACGGCUUCUGCAUU